rnacentral:rRNA from 1 species
AGAGUUUGAUUAUGGCUCAGGAUGAACGCUGGCGGCGUGCUUAAUACAUGCAAGUCGAACGAAGAUAUUUCGCUGAUGCGAUUCGUCAAAUCUUGAAAUAUCUUAGUGGCGGACGGGUGAGUAACGCGUGGGUAACCUGCCUUACACAGGGGGAUAACAGUUAGAAAUGACUGCUAAUACCGCAUAAGCGCACGGUAUCGCAUGAUACAGUGUGAAAAAGAUUUUAUCGGUGUAAGAUGGACCCGCGUCUGAUUAGCUAGUUGGUGAGGUAACGGCCCACCAAGGCGACGAUCAGUAGCCGGCCUGAGAGGGUGAACGGCCACAUUGGGACUGAGACACGGCCCAAACUCCUACGGGAGGCAGCAGUAGGGAAUAUUGGACAAUGGGGGCAACCCUGAUCCAAGCGACGCCGCGUGAGUGAAGAAGUAUUUCGGUACGUAAAGCUCUAUCAGCAGGGAAGAAAAUGACGGUACCUGACUAAGAAGCACCGGCUAAAUACGUGCCAGCCGCUGC